UCCGGCUUAUCACCGGCAGUCCCUCUAGAGUGCCCAACUAAAUGAUGGCAACUAAAGGCGAGGGUUGCGCUCGUUGCGGGACUUAACCCAACAUCUCACGACACGAGCUGACGACAGCCAUGCAGCACCUGUGUUACGGCUCCCUUUCGGGCACACCCACCUCUCAGCGGGCUUAGGUACAUGUCAAGGGUAGGUAAGGUUUUUCGCGUUGCAUCGAAUUAAUCCACAUAAUCCACCGCUUGUGCGGGUCCCCGUCAAUUCCUUUGAGUUUUAACCUUGCGGCCGUACUCCCCAGGCGGAUGACUUCACGCGUUAGCUGCGUUACUAAAGGAUUUAACUCCUCCAACAACUAGUCAUCAUCGUUUAGGGCGUGGACUAC
rnacentral:misc_RNA from 1 species